UACGUAGGGUGCGAGCGUUAAUCGGAUUUACUGGGCGUAAAGCGCGCGUAGGUGGCUUGAUAAGCCGGUUGUGAAAGCCCCGGGCUCAACCUGGGAACGGCAUCCGGAACUGUCAGGCUAGAGUGCAGGAGAGGAAGGUAGAAUUCCCGGUGUAGCGGUGAAAUGCGUAGAGAUCGGGAGGAAUACCAGUGGCGAAGGCGGCCUUCUGGACUGACACUGACACUGAGGUGCGAAAGCGUGGGGAGCAAACAGG
rnacentral:rRNA from 1 species